rnacentral:rRNA from 1 species
AGAGCGAACGCUGGCGGCAGGCCUAACACAUGCAAGUCGAGCGCCCGUAGCAAUACGGGAGCGGCAGACGGGAUAGUAACACGUGGGAACGCGCCCUUCGGUUCGGAAUAACUCAGGGAAACUUGAGCUAAUACCGAAUACGCCCUUACGGGGAAAGAUUUAUUGCCGAAGGAACGGCCCGCGUCCGAUUAGCUAGUUGGUGAGGUAAUGGCUCACCAAGGCUACGAUCGGUAGCUGGUCUGAGAGGAUGACCAGCAUCACUGGGACUGAGACAUGGCCCAGACUCCUACGGGAGGCAGCAGUGGGGAAUAUUGGACAAUGGGCGCAAGCCUGAUCCAGCCAUGCCGCGUGGAUGAUGAAGGCCUUAGGGUUGUAAAGUCCUUUUAACGGGGAAGAUAAUGACGGUACCCGUAGAAUAAGCCCCGGCUAACUUCGCGCCAGCAGCCGC